rnacentral:rRNA from 1 species
UGGGGAAUUUUGCGCAAUGGGCGAAAGCCUGACGCAGCGACGCCGCGUGUGCGAUGAAGGCCUUUGGGUCGUAAAGCACUGUCAAGAGGGAAGAAAGCUUCCGGACGAAUAAUCCGGAGGGAUGACGGUACCUCUAAAGGAAGCACCGGCUAACUCUGUGCCAGCAGCCGCGGUAAUACAGAGGGUGCAAACGUUGUUCGGAAUUACUGGGCGUAAAGAGCGUGUAGGCGGCUUGUUAAGUCGGCUGUGAAAGCCCAUGGCUCAACCAUGGAAGUGCAGUCGAUACUGGCAAGCUUGAGUUCUGGAGAGGGUGGUGGAAUUCCCAGUGUAGAGGUGAAAUUCGUAGAUAUUGGGAGGAACACCAGUGGCGAAGGCGACCGCCUGGACAGAUACUGACGCUGAGACGCGAAAGCGUGGGGAGCAAACAGGAUUAGAUACCCCCGUAGUCC